AGCAAUCUUAUCACACUUGCUAUAUAUGCGCCUAUUUAAAGAACUAGGAAUGGUAACCUGAAAUCAAUCACCUCUAUAUAUUCAUUCUAACAAAAACACACAAAAUGAAGCAGCAACAACACUAUGCUGCUAUAUCUUUCAUACAAGCAACCCUUUCCUUAUUGCUUGUUGUAGUUACAAUGCAGCAACUCAUAACAACUAAUGCCCUCGAUAGCACUGAUUAUCGAGGGAACGAAACAGACCAUACAUCAUUGUUGGCAAUCAAGAGCCAGCUUAUCAAUGGAGCUUUGAGCUCUUGGAAUCACUCACUUCACCAUUGUUUUUGGGAUGGUGUUACUUGUGGUCUCAAACAUAAAAGAGUGGUUGAGUUAAAUUUACAAGAAAGAGAUUUAGUAGGAACUAUAUCUCCCUUCAUUGGAAACCUUAGCUUCCUAAGAAUUAUUAGUCUUUACAAUAAUAGCCUGAAAGGCCCAAUCCCCCCUGAGAUCGGUCGUUUAUUCAGACUACAAAAACUCUCUCUCUUCCGCAAUAGUUUAACUGGUGAAAUCCCGGCUAACUUAUCUGGUUGUAUCAACCUUCGAGCUCUUUCUGUAGGGUACAACAAGUUAGAAGGGAAACUUCCAAUGGAAUUAAAAGCAUUGUCUCAUCUAAAUUUGCUUGGUGUACACUACAAUAAUUUUAGCGGACCUAUAUUUGAAGUCAUAGAAAGCAUGUCAUCCUUGGAAAUCAUAUCGUGCUCUAGCAAUGCCUUUACCGGAACCAUUCCUGGUAGCGUUUAUAAGAUGAGAAAUCUCACUUAUUUGAACCUUCAAUCAAACAAAAUGUCAGGUAUAAUUCCUUCAUCCAUCUCUAACCUUUCCUAUCUUCAAAAUUUACUUUUGUUUGAUAACCAACUCUCGGGUAUGAUUCCUCCAUCCAUCUUCAACCUCUCUUUCCUUGAAGGAUUAGACUUGUCUUAUAACCAACUAGAGGGUAGUAUUCCACCAAAUAUAGCCUCCACUCUUCCUCGAUUAAAGUUCUUACGCCUUAACGAUAACAAUAUAUAAUUUGUCAGGACCAUUACCAAUCUCCUUAUCGAACCUUACAAGUCUUGAAGACAUUGAGUUAGGCAUGAACAACUUUGUGGGAAACAUGCCAAGUCAUUUAGGACAACUCCAUAACCUACGACAUCUAAUCCUUGAUCAUAAUAAUAUCGUAGGUGACAUAAGUUUUAUCAAUACACUAGUUAAUUGUAGUAAGUUGGAAGUCUUGGACUUGAAAGGAAAUAGGUUUACAGGAACCUUACCAAAAGCUAUUGCCAAUCUUUCUACCAAAUUAACUUUCCUUGCCAUUGGGGAAAAUCCCAUUAGUGGAAGAAUUCCUAGGGAAAUUAGUAAUCUCAUGAACCUAGACAAUCUAUGGAUGGAAGCAAACGGAAUCACUGGAACGAUUCCUUGGGAUCUUGGAAAGCUUCGAAAGCUAGAAAAGAUUGAGGAGACCUAUGCUGCCCUCCUCUGGACUUGUUAAGUGGGCUCUCUCUUGAUGACGGGUGCGGCCCAGACCCGUGUUUGACAUGGUAUCAGAGCCAACGUGACGCAAAGGUCACGGGUUCGAAUCUCAUCCACCCCUCUUUUCAAAGUGGAAUAUUUCGCGCUAGGUAUGAGGAGACCUAUGCUGCAUCCACACUUCAAGCCCAAAGGGCUUUCAUGUGAGGGGGCGUGAUAGAGUAUAAAACUAAUAUUGAGGUUUCAACCAUAAGCUUAAGCUUUUGGUUGAGUUGGUCCUUUGACACUAGUCCUCAACUCCAAUAGACUCAAUGGUGAAAUUCCUGAUUCCUUCGGAAAUUUAUCGCGUUUGAGCAAACUUUAUCUAAAUGAUAACGAGUUGCAUGGAAGAAUACCUCUGAGCCUUGGUAAUUGUGUAAACUUGCUAUACUUGGAUUUAUCCUCGAAUAAAUUCACAGGAUCCUUGUACAACAAGCUUUUUACGGAAACUAACUUUGUUGAAUUAAAUGUGAGUCAAAACCAUUUAGAAGGGUCUAUCCCUAUGGAGAUUAGCAACCAAGUAAGUUUGGUAAAACUUGAUGUGUCGAGUAAUAAAUUUUCGGGGGAAAUUCCUGAUGUCUUUAACAACUUACCUACUCUUCAAAAAUUGUACAUGGCACAUAAUUUCUUCCAUGGUCUGAUUCCUCAAUCAUUCGCCUCUUUGAAAAGCCUUUUAGAAGUUGAUCUUUCUCAUAACCGUCUUUCUGGUCCCGUUCCAAGAUACUUAUCUUCAUUUCCCUUGAUAUACCUAAACUUAUCUUACAAUAAUUUUGAGGGAGAAGUUCCAACAAAAGGAAUUUUUGCAAAUGCGAGUGCAAUAUCUCUUGUUGGAAAUAACAGGCUUUGUGGAGGAAUUUCCGAGCUACAUCUCCCAAGAUGCGUGAAGAAAGCACCAAAGAAAACACGAAUGUAUUACACUCUCAAGCUGGUAAUCUUCAUAAUUUCUACAAUCAUAGGGAUAUUGGCAACGGGUUCGUGCAUAUGGUUGUUCUUGACACGUCAUUACAAGAAAAGAGAACCAGUUUCUUUAGACGCAAUAGGGAAGGAGUCAUUCUCGAAAGUAUCCUACCACAUGCUACUCAAAGCAACUAAUGGGUUUUCUAUGGGAAAUCUACUUGGUUCAGGUACUUUUGGGUCUGUGUUUCAAGGAAAUUUGGAUGGAAAAACAGUUGCUGUAAAAGUACUCAACUUGCAACAACGAGGUGGAAAUAAGAGUUUCAUGGCAGAGUGUGAGGCAAUGAGGAACAUUCGUCACCGUAAUCUGGUUGGAAUCAUAACAGCUCAGCUUGCUCAAGUAUGGAUUUCCAAAGAAAAGAUUUCAAAGCUCUUGUGUAUGAGUUCAUGCCCAAUGGAAGUCUUGAUAGAUGGUUACACCAAGAUGGAAACCUAAGCCUUCUUCAAAGGGUUGAUUUAGCCAUUGAUGUAGCUCAUGCACUCAACUAUCUCCACCAUGAAUGCGGAAACUCGAUUGUGCAUUGUGACUUAAAACCAAACAACAUAUUGCUUCAUCAUGACAUGGUUGCGCGUGUUUCAGAUUUUGGGUUAGCGAAAGUUCUUGCUCGACCAUUACAUCCAAAUCAAAGCAGCUCAGUAGCAGUAAGAGGAACCAUUGGCUAUGUUGCCCCAGAGUAUGGCUUAGGAGCUGAAGCAUCCCCGAAGGCUGAUAUAUACAGUUACGGAAUCUUAUUAUUGGAGCUUAUGACAAGCAAGAGACCAACUGACAAUAUGUUCAUGGAAGAGAACCUCCAUAUGUAUUCAAAGGACGCAUUGCACGAUCGAGUGUUGAAAAUUGUAGACUCGACACUUUUAGAGCAUGAAAACGAAGAAGUGGAAAGUAGUGAAAUAAAAACUCAAGUGGUGCUUCAAAAUCGAGAAGAGUGCAUAACGCUUGUAGUGAAGAUUGGAGUGGCAUGUUCAAAUCAAUUGCCAUGUGAUCGGAUGAAAAUAAGUGAUGUCAUAAUAGAACUACAAGAAGCUAGGAAGAUCCUUCUCAUUUCGAAACAAAGACAAACAUUUUCAACAAUUACACAAAUGUAAUAAAUGCCAAAUUUACUUUGUUUUGUUGGUGUUUUGUUUGUGCAAAAUUGUAUUGUUGUUAGUCCAUUAAGUAAUUUCUCAUCUUGUACGAUAUUGAAGUAAUUUUUUAUAUAAAAAUUAUAUACUUAAGAAA